rnacentral:rRNA from 1 species
GCCAGCAGCCCCAUCACCCUGCAGCUCCCAGCUGGCAGCCCCACUGGAGCUCAGCAGCGUGAGCCUGGUCAGUACCUGGAUGGGAGACUCCUGGGAAAGCUCAGGUUGCUGCUGGAA